GACGAACGCUGGCGGCGUGCUUAACACAUGCAAGUCGAACGGAAAGGCCCUGCUUUUGUGGGGUGCUCGAGUGGCGAACGGGUGAGUAACACGUGAGUAACCUGCCCUUGACUUUGGGAUAACUUCAGGAAACUGGGGCUAAUACCGGAUAGUAGCUCCUGCUGCAUGGUGGGGGUUGGAAAGUUUCGGCGGUUGGGGAUGGACUCGCGGCUUAUCAGCUUGUUGGUGGGGUAGUGGCUUACCAAGGCUUUGACGGGUAGCCGGCCUGAGAGGGUUACCGGCCACUUUGGGACUGAGAUAAGGCCCAGACUCCCAUGGGAGGCAGGAGUGGGGAAUUUUGCACGUUGGGCGGAAUAUUGAUACAGCAAGUCCGGGAGCGGGAUGACGGACUUUGGGUUGUAAAACGUUUUCGCUUGUGAAGAAGCGUGAUUAACGGUAAUGGGUAAAGAAGAACCGGCUAACUAAGUG
rnacentral:rRNA from 1 species